UACGGAGGGGGCUAGCGUUGUUCGGAAUUAUUGGGCGUAAAGGGCGCGUAGGCGGCCGGACAAGUCGGGUGUGAAAUCCCUCGGCUCAACCGAGGAACUGCAUUCGAUACUGUCUGGCUCGAGUCCGGGAGGGGAUGGUGGAAUUCCCAGUGUAGCGGUGAAAUGCGUAGAUAUUGGGAAGAACACCGGUGGCGAAGGCGACCAUCUGGACCGGAACUGACGCUGAGGCGCGAAAGCGUGGGGAGCAAACAGG
rnacentral:rRNA from 1 species